rnacentral:siRNA from 1 species
GGGAUACCUCGUUCCCCAGAAGU